CAGCCCUGCUGACUGACAGCAAUUUGAAAGUGAUUACACUGCACUAGGUCACAAAACAGGAGUUGGAGGAAAUAACCCUUGUAUUGGAAACAGGAUAGGCUGCUCUUCUGUCCAGCACUGGGCUCAAAAUCAUGUUCACUUGGGCUUCAGCUGUUUCCUUUUCUGAUGUCUCAAGACAUAAGCUCCCUCCAGAGCUCGUCAGACUUCAUACUCAGCACAGGCACACACACAGAAUUUGGAAAUCUAAGGAUUAGUGAAGGCUGGACUUCAACGUCUCAGGAAUUAGAUUUAUAGAAGAUGUACUGAGGUUCCUGCACCUUAACACCCUCCUCCCCCUUUUUUUUGUUUCCUUUCAGAGAAGCAAGAACAGAUAUGCAACAUUACAAAACAGACUAUUGCACACUGUAACUCAUUGUUUAAGACAGUCCUAAGAAGCACAUAAUUCCACUGAAAUUUCAUCACUUCUCACUUCAGCAAGACAACCUUAAGGAACAUUAUCCUUAGAGCAUGAAUCAACAUGAGCCAGCUGACAUGCAUUUUGCAUCUCUUACAUCUUGAAAAACCCAGCUGCUGUUCUAAUGCACCAAGUACAAUAGGUUAUUUAACCCCAAAGCUGUAGCGUGCCACGCCAUGUAAACACUAGGCAGUAACAUGCUCUGAGUAAGUCUACCCGGGACAGCAAUUUUUAGACAACUUGGACAGAAACUGCCUACCUCACACGCUGCUACCGAGGGCAUAAUAAGACAGCAUUACUAUUUUACAGCAUCAGCAAAAUUCUGAUUUUUUUCCCCAUCUCAUUCAUUGGGCAUCACAGGGAAGAUAAGAGUGAGGAAACUAAACCACAGCUAUUUCUGUGACAUGAUCUCACCUCGCAACACCUAGCUACUGAAGCAGGACUCUGAAAAAUGGUCAGCACAGCUUUUAAUGCUAUUUUUUUGGUCAAGAUUUUACAGGCAGAACAGCAUCUUCUCUGUAUCUAUCCAGUCUGCACGCCUGGACUGACGCAGAUCCCACCGGCGAAGCUGACGUCCUCCAAGAUGUUUGCUCCAUCAGUUGUUCCCACUCCCCCCUUCUGCGUCUGGGAGCAACGCACGAUGCUUUCGGCGGCCCCUUUUCCUGCGGUGCUCUGGCAUAUGCUUCUUAGCAGUGUAACUAUGUUGCUCCUUUUCAAAUGAAAAUAUUUGGGAAAAUAGGCACUAUUUCCUCAGUACCCAACUCCCCACAGAUCCAUCAACUACCAAAUGAGAUAAAAUACAAAUGUACACGUCUC